rnacentral:rRNA from 1 species
CUCGGCUGACGGCUCAGUAACACGUGGAUAAUCUGCCCUUAGGUGGAGGAUAAUCUCGGGAAACUGAGGAUAAUACUCCAUAGAUCUAGGAUGCUGGAAUGCAUCUAGAUUGAAAGCUCCGGCGCCUAAGGAUGAGUCUGCGGACUAUCAGGUUGUAGUCAGGGUAAAGACCUGACUAGCCUACGACGGAUACGGGUUGUGAGAGCAAUAACCCGGAGACGAUAUCUGAGACACGAUAUCGGGCCCUACGGGGCGCAGCAGGCGCGAAAACUUCACACUGUGCGAAAGCGCGAUGAGGGAAUCCCAAGUGUUUGCUCGUAAGAGUAAACUGUUUCUUUGUUUAAAACGCAGAGAGAGUAAGGGCUGGGUAAGACGGGUGCCAGCCGCCGCGGUCAUACCUGCAGCUCAAGUGGUGAUCAUUAUUAUUGGGCCUAAAACGUCCGUAGCCGGUUUAGUAAAUGCCUGGGUAAAUCGUGUAGCUUAACUAUACGACUUCCGGGUAGACUACUAAACUUGAGACCGGGAGAGGCUAGAGGUACUCCUGGGGUAGAGGUGAAAUUCUGUAAUCCUAGGGGGACCACCAGUGGCGAAGGCGUCUAGCUAGAACGGGUCUGACGGUGAGGGACGAAGCCCUGGGGCACAAACCGGAUUAGAUACCCGGGUAGUCCAG